GACGUAGGUGGCGAACGUUAUCCGGAAUUAUUGGGCGUAAAGGAUGCGUAGAUGGUGUAGUAAGUUAUCGGUGGCAAAUCGAGGCUCAACCUCGUGGAAGUCGGUAAUACUGUUAUGCUAGAGGAUAGGAGAGGUUAACGGAACUCCCUGUGGAGCGGUGAAAUGCGUAGAUAUAGGGAAGAACACCAAUCAGGCGAAGGCAGUUAACUAUUCUAUUCCUGACAUUGAGGCAUGAAAGCGUGGGGAGCAAAACGG
rnacentral:rRNA from 1 species